rnacentral:rRNA from 1 species
GAUCAUGGCUCAGGAUGAACGCUAGCUACAGGCUUAACACAUGCAAGUCGAGGGGCAGCAUGGCCUUAGCUUGCUAAGGCCGAUGGCGACCGGCGCACGGGUGAGUAACACGUAUCCAACCUGCCGUCUACUCUUUGACAGCCUUCUGAAAGGAAGAUUAAUACAAGAUGGCAUCAUGAGUCCGCAUGUUCACAUGAUUAAAGGUAUUCCGGUAGACGAUGGGGA